UGCAUGCUGCUGGAGAUUUCAUUGACACGUGACCAAGAUCCAUGUUUUCUGCAAACUGUCAUCACAGGAGAUGAGAGUUGGUGCUCACCAGCUUCCUCAUGCCCCAAAAAGAGCUGCCUUCAGACGUUCAGAAUCAAGAUGCUCUUGAUUGCAUUUUUCGACCACAACAGCAUGAUCCACCAAGAAUUUGUCCUGGAAGGGCAAACCAUCAACACUGAAUUCUAUGAAGCUGUUUUGAAACGCUUACUGCUGCACAUCCAACAUGUUCGCCCACAGAUGUACAGGAGUGGAAAGUGGAGUCU
rnacentral:lncRNA from 1 species